rnacentral:rRNA from 1 species
UUAUGGCUCAGGAUGAACGCUAGCUACAGGCUUAACACAUGCAAGUCGAGGGGCAGCAUAGCGGAAGCUUGCUUCUGCUGAUGGCGACCGGCGCACGGGUGAGUAACGCGUAUCCAACCUUCCCUACAGUAGGGGAUAGCCCGGCGAAAGUCGGAUUAAUACCCUAUGUUCUUCUUCGAUGACAUCUGACGAGAAGCAAAGGUUCACCGCUAUAGGAUGGGGAUGCGUCUGAUUAGCUUGUUGGCGGGGUAACGGCCCACCAAGGCUACGAUCAGUAGGGGUUCUGAGAGGAAGGUCCCCCACAUUGGUACUGAGACACGGACCAAACUCCUACGGGAGGCAGCAGUGAGGAAUAUUGGUCAAUGGGCGAGAGCCUGAACCAGCCAAGUAGCGUGCAGGAAUGACUGCCCUAUGGGUUGUAAACUGCUUUUAUGCGGGAAUAAAGUCGGGCACGUGUGCCUGUUUGUAUGUACCGCAUGAAUAAGGACCGGCUAAUUCCGUGCCAGCCGCCGC